AAUCGGAGCAGCCGAGGCCCAAAUUUGCCGUAUAAGGCAAUACAACAAACAAGCACGCCUCUGUAGCUUUAAGGUCAACACCCCAGUCAACUUUAGCAAAACAAACUCUGUCUGCCUGUGAUGUUUCCUGUCUUUGAGGAACACCCAUGUAAUUAGACUUGUUCAAUUGGAUGCCUUAUGCAAGGAGCCACUGCUGGAACACAGGUGGCGUUAUGGAGUGGAUUUCAUCAUAAACAUUCUGGUUACGUGCGCCUCAGAAGUCAAACCAAAAUUGUGGAGAUAAAAGCCUCACGCAGGAUCGCAAACAGGUGUUUGCGGGCCAGGUAAAAUGAUGUGCUGGAACACAGGUGCAGACAAAGAGGACAAGUCUCACCUGGAGACCAGGCUGCUUGUCAGGACGUGGAGACGUGUCUUUGUCCAGCAGCACCACCAUGCAGUGCACCGCAUGCAGGGCCUGCUCCUGCGAACUAGUUCAGUGUGGUUUAGCUUCCACCUGGGCCAUGAGCAGAGCCGUGUAGAGAUGAGGCGGGGGGGCCUUCUUCCUGGCAUCGAUGACCAGAGUCAGUCCCAGCUCGCGUACAUCUUUCCUGGGGAGACAACCAGUCAGGUGAGAGCUCACUCAAACACUCUUCAUGCGUUCAUCAAGUCACCACACGAGUCGUGCAAUAAUACAGUAAUACACCCAAAAAUCUACACUUGUUAAUUUGCGGUAAAAAAACAACAACAAACGAACUGGGAGCUCAGGCGCCAAAUGUUACUGUAAAAUUGCAGGUUUUUUUUACUUUAAGUUUGGAACAUUUCGUGUUAAUGUUCAUAAAAACUGGGAAUUCUAGGAAAUCCAGUUUUUUUUUUUUAAUUCUUGAACAUUUCUGAACAGGCUGAAUAUUUUAAAAAUGGAACGGUUGGAAUCAGAUAAAAAAAAAUGUGGGAGUUAUGGAACUUUGAAAAAUGGGGACCUCUUUUCAAUGGGAAUUUCAUGGAAAUUUGGGAAUUUCUGGAAUUUUUAUUUUUUUUAUUUUUUUCGGAAAAUGCAAAAAUAUUUGAAUGUUCUGAAUGAGUUGAAAUGGUUGGUGUUGGAAUUUUUCAAAUCGGUCGAGAAAUGUUGAAAUAGAAACAUUUUGAAUUGAGAAAUGGGGUAACGGAAUUCCUAUAAUUUCGGGAAAACCGGGGAAUGUUUCCAGUUCAAAAACAAUUUUGUUUUUUGUUCUGAUUAAGAGGAAUGUUUGGGCGGUUGAACGGUUGAAGUGGGUUGAAAAAUGUGGAACGAGUAGUCGACAGAAAAAAGGGUGAAAAUAGGGCAUUUUGGGAAUUCCUGGAAUUUUUUUUCAACUUGGAAAAAAGGGAAGUUUGAAUGUCCAGUGUGAGUGGAAUGUGUUGAAGGUGGAAUAGUUUGAAUAGGUUGAAAAAUGUGGAAAUGGUGGAAGUGUGAAAAAUGCCCAAUUCAUUUUGAAUAGGAAAAAUGUCCAGGGAAAAACCUGGAAUUCUGUGGAAUCUGUGGAAUUUGUCGAGGGAAAUGCCGCGAUUCCCGAAUAGGCCGAACAGUUUGAAGUUGGAAUGGUUUGAAUCAGAUAAAAAAAUGUGGGAGUUGUGGAACUUUGAAAAAUGUUCCAUUCUUUUCAGUGGGAAUUUCAUGGAAAUUUGGGAAUUUGGGAAAAUAAGGAUUUUUUUUGGGAAAAUGCAAAAAUAUUUGAAUGUUCUUAAUGAGUUGAAAUGGUUGGUGUUGGAAUUUUUCAAAUCGAUCGAGAAAUGUUGAAGUAGUGACAUUUUGAAUUGAGAAAUGGUAUAAGGGAAUUCCUAUAAUUUCGGGAAAACCGGGAAUUUUCCCAGUUCAAAAAACAACUUUGUUUUUGUUCUGAUUAAGAGGAAUGUUUGGACGGUGGAACGGUUGAAGUGGGUUGAAAAAUGUGUUAGGAGUAGUCGACAGAAAAAAGGGUGAAAAUAGGGCAUUCUGGGAAUUCCUGGAAUUUUUUUUAACUUGGAAAAAGGAAAGUUUGAAUGUCUGGUAAGAGUGAAAUAUGUUGAAGGUGGAAUGGUUAGAAUCGGUUGAAAAAUGUGGAAAUGGCGGAAGUGUGAAAAAUGGCCAAUUCAUUUUGAAUGGGAAAAAUGUCCCGGAAAACCUGGAAUUCUGGGACAUCUGGGAAUUUUGGGAAUCUGUCAAGGGAAAUGCGGCGAUUCCCGAAUAGGCUGAACAGUUUGAAGUUGGAACGGUUUAAAUCAGAUAAAUCACUUAGCGUCUAACAAUCUCUGUGAACCUUUUCAAUCCGGUUUCAGGGCAAAUCACUGAAACCGCAACAGCCCUCGCAAAAAUGACUAAUGAUCUAUUGCUAACGAUGGAUUCUGAUGCUUCAUCUAUGUUGCUGCUUCUUGAUCUUAGCGCCGCUUUCGAUACUGUUGAUCAUAAUAUUUUAUUAGAGCGUAUCAAAACGCGUAUUGGGAUGUCAGACUUAGCCUGGUCUUGGUUUAACUCUUAUCUUACUGACAGGAUGCAGUGUGUCUCCCAUAAC